rnacentral:tRNA from 1 species
GCUCACGUGGCCCAGCGGCUAGGGCACCGCAUUGUCGAUGCGGCGAUUCGCGGGUUCGAGUCCCGUCGUGAGCGCAA